rnacentral:tRNA from 1 species
UCCCUUGUGGCUCAGAUGGUAAAGAACCUGCCUGCAAUGCAGGAGACCUAGGUUCAAUUCCUGGGGCGGGAA